CGGCGGAUCUCUUUCCUAUGGCGAUGGAAGAAUGAAUGUCCAUUGUUUCCGGUGAAAACAGCUGAUAGAAGGUGUCAUAUCCUUAACUAGUUUCCCAUAGAUUUUCUGAGAUGCAAUUUAAUACAGACCUUAGUUUUGCACAAAAGAAUCAAGGGGAGUCAAUGAAAGAAUAAGCAAACUCAAGAUUCAUAAUGGUGUGGAUAUAAGUUAUAGGUGCAAAUGGACUGCAAAUAUGAACACGAGUCUUCCCAUUAUUACAAAAGAAAAGCAAGAGAGAAGUCUUUUAGGAAUAUCUUGUGAAAAUUGCAUUGAAAUUCUAAACUAUAAAGAAAUCCGUGGUAAACCCAGCCUCUUGCCAGUGAGGAUACAUUGUAAAUCAGAGCCCAAUAGUGCCAUCUUGGAACAUCAAUUCUGUUCGUUAUACUGUGCUGUUCCCUGUGAUGUUUUACAUAUAGGAUUUUGAGAUAAUGUUGGUAACAGAAUAUCAAUCAUAUAAUGUAAAAUAAGAGAACUCCAUUCAGUGUUUUACUUUGAAAUAUAUUACUCUGAAAUAGAUUUCUAAAUAAGAAAGAAUUCAUUCCUUUUAUCUGUCUGCUGCAAGGGCUGUGUAUUCAAAUUAAAAUUCACACAUAUUAUGAUACCUCUCCAGAAAAUAUCAGAUAAAAAAAAAAUCGGAGAGGGCUACAUUAUUGCAGCUAAUUAUGAUACAAUGUCUUUAAGCAGUGUGCAAUGUACAUGUGUAAUGUGUAUAGGGAUUAAUCUUGUGAAUCUUUUAUACAUAAUUUUUCAGGGACUAAUUAUUUUAAAAUUUAUCAUGUAGUUCUUAUCUCACUCUCAUUACAAAAAAAGACUUCAGACUUUAAAAAUACAUGUAUGUAAAACCAAUGUCUAAAAUCACAGCUUUCUGUGAGUAACACACUAUUUUUUUUUCAAAUGAGCAUCUGUCAAUUUGCUGAAUGUUUUUUUAAUCAUAAUAGGUCAUAGGUGUAUUUCAGAACAGUCAAAUUUUUUUCCCCCUCAAAUUUCUCUUGACCAAUAUAUUGAGAUUUUAUUUGUAAGAAUUAAGUAAAAAAAAUUACCAGAUCAGCAUUAGAAAUAU